GGCGAUAAGUGAUUUUUCAUUUCCCUGCUGAAGAUAAGGAAGUUAGGAAGGUCAAUCUGGAUAAUAUCAUAUUGGUAUCAUGAAGAUACGCAGGCUUGCGUAGAUGAUAUUGAACCAUAUAAGAUGAUCAAGGCCAUGUGUAGGCUUUCUUAUAGUGUUUAUGAUAAUAAUACUGAUAAUGGAUCCAAGGGAAGAACUCAGUUUGGUAACAUUCAUCGGUUUAAGAACCAGUUGGUUUUUCAAUAUAAAUUGUUCAUGUGCAACUUGUGCUUGAAAGGAAGGCAGGAAGCUAUUUAUACGUGAACAAAAGCUGUAUACCUGAGCAUAAUUAGAGCAACAUAUAUAUAUACAGGCGACUCUCGAGUUGAUGGAACCGAAGGUGAAAGAGGUGGCUUCAAGGGACAUGUCUUAUGUAAAUUCGUGACAUCAGCCUAAAGGGACUGAGAAGGAGACUUGCUAGAAUCGUUGUGGUGAGUUCAGGAUUCUAAUGUCAAU